rnacentral:misc_RNA from 1 species
UACGUAGGGUGCGAGCGUUGUCCGGUAUCACUGGGCGUAAAGGGCGCGUAGGCGGUCUGCUAAGCGUGUGGUGAAAGCUCGGGGCUCAACCCUGAGUCGGUCAUGCGAACUGGUGGACUUGAGCACUGUAGAGGCAGGUGGAAUUCCGGGUGUAGCGGUGGAAUGCGUAGAGAUCCGGAAGAACACCGGUGGCGAAGGCGGCCUGCUGGGCAGUAGCUGACGCUGAGGCACGAAAGCGUGGGGAUCAAACAGG